CUCCCAAAGUGCUGGGAUUACAGGCGUGAACCAUCGUGGCCUGGGCAAAUUCUACCUUUCCCUUGAGAAAAGCAAGAAAACCGAGGAAUGCAAGUCCUGUUAAAUGAUCAGACCCAGAGAGACAUUGAAGUGAGCCAGCCCUGGCAUCCUCCUUCACCCCCAGCUGCACAUUCAUCUAUUGAAGCUGCCUGCUGCUGCCACAGGUCAACACCGUCACCACUCAACUGAUAUCUUACUGCUUUUAUGAAGCCUUCCUUGAUUCCUCCGGCGGGGUGAUACCUCUCAGUAUCUUCCAUGAUGAAGAAAGACAUCUCAAUUUCCCUCUGAAUCUCCAGCUUCAGGGCAUGGUGGGCCAUUUGAAGACUUCUGGAGUCAAGAGAUAAAGGGAAGCAUUAGUUCCAUUGGGUCCUGUUUGAUCUUUAUACCAUCAACACGGAGCUCAGAGCUUCCCUGCUUCCCUUUCGCUCCUCAAGGUCACCAGAAGGACGUGGGCUUUUUGAUGUUCAAAGAAAGUCUGAAAGCCUCGCCUGGUCUUCUGAGCCUGAGCGUGCUGUUGGCAGGCUCUUCUGAAUCAAGUUGGGGCAGAGGAGGAUUCCUCGUCUCUUUCUGAGGCAGAUCCCACAGUCGUUAGGAGCUGGAUGAGCACGUUCUUUAAUAGAUUUCCUUUUUAUUUUUCUGGGUCUCAUCUGAAAUUUUUGACCCUUGCACGUCUCCAUUCUCUCAACCUUCUUUCUGACCAGAAAAUUCCUUCUGUAAUUUUGGCUACACAAGAGUAUCAAGGAAUGCUUAGGGGGCAAACAGAGUACUUCGAGAACAGCAUGCAUUCGGGCCAAGCUCCCAAGGCCAUGCUGAGCAUACGUCUCCAGCUCACAGCUUCGGGAAGCUGAGAGGAACAGAGGUCCUCAAUCUCAGAAAGAAAUAAAAGCAGAUCAGGGAAUCACCUCUCCCUUUUCCCUUAGUGAAAUAUUUUAAUGAGUUUUGAGGCUGUCUCUGUGUGUAUGAAAUGCCAGGAGUCUGCAUCUCAGCUGUUAUGACCAGAGGUCUUCUCUUGGGUGCUGGUGAGGACUGAGGACUAGCUGGCUUCAGGAAAGCUGCUUCAGCUGCUUUUCCUGCCAGCCACACAGCAGGAACAAGAAACAACUUUGGCUGGGCAUGGUGGCUCACGCCUGUAAUCCCAGCACUUUGGGAAGCCGAGCCAGGAGG